rnacentral:rRNA from 2 species
AAAUUGAAGAGUUUGAUCAUGGCUCAGAUUGAACGCUGGCGGCAGGCCUAACACAUGCAAGUCGAGCGGUAGCACAGAGAGCUUGCUCUCGGGUGACGAGCGGCGGACGGGUGAGUAAUGUCUGGGAAACUGCCUGAUGGAGGGGGAUAACUACUGGAAACGGUAGCUAAUACCGCAUAACGUCGCAAGACCAAAGUGGGGGACCUUCGGGCCUCAUGCCAUCAGAUGUGCCCAGAUGGGAUUAGCUAGUAGGUGAGGUAACGGCUCACCUAGGCGACGAUCCCUAGCUGGUCUGAGAGGAUGACCAGCCACACUGGAACUGAGACACGGUCCAGACUCCUACGGGAGGCAGCAGUGGGGAAUAUUGCACAAUGGGCGCAAGCCUGAUGCAGCCAUGCCGCGUGUGUGAAGAAGGCCUUCGGGUUGUAAAGCACUUUCAGCGGGGAGGAAGGCGUUAAGGUUAAUAACCUUGGCGAUUGACGUUACCCGCAGAAGAAGCACCGGCUAACUCCGUGCCAGCAGCCGCGGUAAUACGGAGGGUGCAAGCGUUAAUCGGAAUUACUGGGCGUAAAGCGCACGCAGGCGGUCUGUCAAGUCGGAUGUGAAAUCCCCGGGCUUAACCUGGGAACUGCAUUCGAAACUGGCAGGCUAGAGUCUUGUAGAGGGGGGUAGAAUUCCAGGUGUAGCGGUGAAAUGCGUAGAGAUCUGGAGGAAUACCGGUGGCGAAGGCGGCCCCCUGGACAAAGACUGACGCUCAGGUGCGAAAGCGUGGGGAGCAAACAGGAUUAGAUACCCUGGUAGUCCACGCCGUAAACGAUGUCGAUUUGGAGGUUGUGCCCUUGAGGCGUGGCUUCCGGAGCUAACGCGUUAAAUCGACCGCCUGGGGAGUACGGCCGCAAGGUUAAAACUCAAAUGAAUUGACGGGGGCCCGCACAAGCGGUGGAGCAUGUGGUUUAAUUCGAUGCAACGCGAAGAACCUUACCUGGUCUUGACAUCCACAGAACUUAGCAGAGAUGCUUUGGUGCCUUCGGGAACUGUGAGACAGGUGCUGCAUGGCUGUCGUCAGCUCGUGUUGUGAAAUGUUGGGUUAAGUCCCGCAACGAGCGCAACCCUUAUCCUUUGUUGCCAGCGGUCCGGCCGGGAACUCAAAGGAGACUGCCAGUGAUAAACUGGAGGAAGGUGGGGAUGACGUCAAGUCAUCAUGGCCCUUACGACCAGGGCUACACACGUGCUACAAUGGCAUAUACAAAGAGAAGCGACCUCGCGAGAGCAAGCGGACCUCAUAAAGUAUGUCGUAGUCCGGAUUGGAGUCUGCAACUCGACUCCAUGAAGUCGGAAUCGCUAGUAAUCGUAGAUCAGAAUGCUACGGUGAAUACGUUCCCGGGCCUUGUACACACCGCCCGUCACACCAUGGGAGUGGGUUGCAAAAGAAGUAGGUAGCUUAACCUUCGGGAGGGCGCUUACCACUUUGUGAUUCAUGACUGGGGUGAAGUCGUAACAAGGUAACCGUAGGGGAACCUGCGGUUGGAUCACCUCCUUACCUUAAAGAA